rnacentral:rRNA from 1 species
GGGGAGCGGCAGACGGGUGAGUAACGCGUGGGAACGUACCUUUUGCUACGGAAUAACUCAGGGAAACUUGUGCUAAUACCGUAUGUGCCCUUCGGGGGAAAGAUUUAUCGGCAAAGGAUCGGCCCGCGUUGGAUUAGCUAGUUGGUGAGGUAAAGGCUCACCAAGGCGACGAUCCAUAGCUGGUCUGAGAGGAUGAUCAGCCACACUGGGACUGAGACACGGCCCAGACUCCUACGGGAGGCAGCAGUGGGGAAUAUUGGACAAUGGGCGCAAGCCUGAUCCAGCCAUGCCGCGUGAGUGAUGAAGGCCCUAGGGUUGUAAAGCUCUUUCACCGGUGAAGAUAAUGACGGUAACCGGAGAAGAAGCCCCGGCUAACUUCGUGCCAGCAGCCGCGGUAAUACGAAGGGGGCUAGCGUUGUUCGGAUUUACUGGGCGUAAAGCGCACGUAGGCGGACUUUUAAGUCAGGGGUGAAAUCCCGGGGCUCAACCCCGGAACUGCCUUUGAUACUGGAAGUCUUGAGUAUGGUAGAGGUGAGUGGAAUUCCGAGUGUAGAGGUGAAAUUCGUAGAUAUUC